rnacentral:rRNA from 1 species
AAGAGAUAAGUGCUGAAAGCAUCUAAGCACGAAACUUGCCCCGAGAUGAGUUCUCCCUGACUCCUUGAGAGUCCUGAAGGAACGUUGAAGACGACGACGUUGAUAGGCCGGAUGUGUAAGCGCAGCGAUGCGUUGAGCUAACCGGUACUAAUGAACCGUGAGGCUUAACCUU